rnacentral:lncRNA from 1 species
GAGGACCGUAUUCAUGGAAGAGGAUCGAACAGUAAAGAGCCCAGCAUUUGAUAAAAAUGAGAAUAUAUCGCCUCAAGCAGAAGCAGAUGAAGAUAUGGGAGAUGAAGUAGACAGUAUGUUGGAUAAAUCUGAAGACAUGAAAUAGGCAGUAUGUUGGAUAAAUCUGGAGGUCUCUGCUAAGAAAAACUGAGAACUUCACUAUGACAUUUAUAAGACGCUUCACAUAAAGAGAAAAUGGAUGGAAACUUAUGUCAAAGAAUCUUUCAAAGGCAGGAACCAGAAAUUAGAAAGAUUUUGCAAAAUGAACGAACGAGAGAGGAAGAACAUCAACAACAAAUUUUGUGAGCAGUAUAUAACUACAUUUCAGAAGUCUUAUAUGGAUGUACAGAAAUUCAAUGAGGAAAAAGAAAAAUCAGUGUUGUCAAAAAGAACAACAAGCAUUGAAACUGUCCAAAUGUAGUCAGAACCAGACCCUGGAAGCAGGUAAAGAAAUGCAUGAGAAGUCCAUGGAGCUGCAUCAUUGGACUCAAACUGAAUGGUCCAUGUGUUGCCACUGAUGUGAGCCAUU